CCUACGGGUGGCUGCAGUCGAGAAUCUUCGGCAAUGGGCGAAAGCCUGACCGAGCGACGCCGCGUGCGGGAUGAAGGCCUUCGGGUUGUAAACCGCGAAAGUAGGGAGGCCGAUCUACAGUAAGGACGGGCUAAGUACGUGCCAGCAGCCGCGGUAAUACGUACCGUCCAAACGUUAUUCGGAAUUACUGGGCUUAAAGGGUUUGUAGGCGGCGCUGUUAGUCGGGUGUGAAAUCCCAGGGCUCAACCCUGGAACUGCGCCCGAUACUGCAGUGCUUGAGGGAGACAGAGGUAAGCGGAACUGAUGGUGGAGCGGUGAAAUGCGUUGAUAUCAUCAGGAACACCGGUGGCGAAAGCGGCUUACUGGCUCUUCUGACGCUGAGAAACGAAAGCUAGGGGAGCGAAGGGGAUUAGAUACCCUUGUAGUC
rnacentral:rRNA from 1 species